rnacentral:lncRNA from 1 species
GCAAGUUCCUCCCUGAUGCCACACAGGGUGCUUUCACGGCAAUUAACUAAAGAAGCCCCUUCCAGGCAGAGUGCACACUUUGAUGAGGAAACAGAGACCCGGAGAGAUACAGUCCUUGGCCAGUCAGCCAAGUUGGAGCAUAGCUUGGACUUUGAACCCAGUCUCCCAGCUCCCAGUCUGCCUGCAGCCCUGUCCCUCUCCACCCCCAAGCCCUGACCAGAAUUCUCUUCUGUACAUCCAGAAGGGCUUUCCCAUUCCUCAGACUCUCUGAGGCAAUUACAGUCCCUACCACUCAUGUGGCCCUUAAUCAUUUACUGCCCUUGCAAACAGCCUGUGGUCAAAAGCAAUAAAGUUCGGACUUGGAC